UUUCAGCCUCUAACUGUACUUGUAAUUGGAUUUAAUACAUCCCUUACCGAAGAGAAGAUAAUAGCUAGCCUACACAAUCAUUUCAACUUUUGUGGAGAGAUUACAAGGAUCUCCUUACCAAGAUAUCAUGAUUCUGGGGCUAUUAAGGGGUAUGCUCAUUUGGAUUUCAAGGAUAUUCAUGGUUAUAAGAAGGCACUAAAACUUCAUCAAACAACGAUAGGAGGUUAUUGGGUGUCUGUUGAAACAGCAAAGCCAUAGAAUAGAGGUGAUAAUCAGGAUAUGCUUGCACUAGUGCAAAAAGAAGAAUAUAUUUUUAAAAUUUACACCCAUUAUACUAAAAACGGGUGUAAAUAAGAAAGGCGAUGACAAUUUUGUAAAUAAAGAGUCAUUUAAAGUA